AUGACGUGCAAAUUCAUGAAGCGUUCCAUAUUUUU
rnacentral:snRNA from 1 species